UCUCCUGGAAACGGGUGGUAAUGCCGGAUGCUCCAGUUGAUCGCAUGGUCUUCUGGGAAAGCUUUCGCGGUAUGGGAUGGGGUCGCGUCCUAUCAGCUUGACGGCGGGGUAACGGCCCACCGUGGCUUCGACGGGUAGCCGGCCUGAGAGGGCGACCGGCCACAUUGGGACUGAGAUACGGCCCAGACUCCUACGGGAGGCAGCAGUGGGGAAUAUUGCACAAUGGGCGCAAGCCUGAUGCAGCGACGCCGCGUGAGGGAUGGAGGCCUUCGGGUUGUAAACCUCUUUUAUCGGGGAGCAAGCGAGAGUGAGUUUACCCGUUGAAUAAGCACCGGCUAACUACGUGCCAGCAGCCGCGGUAAUACGUAGGGUGCAAGCGUUAUCCGGAAUUAUUGGGCGUAAAGGGCUCGUAGGCGGUUCGUCGCGUCCGGUGUGAAAGUCCAUCGCUUAACGGUGGAUCCGCGCCGGGUACGGGCGGGCUUGAGUGCGGUAGGGGAGACUGGAAUUCCCGGUGUAACGGUGGAAUGUGUAGAUAUCGGGAAAGAACA
rnacentral:rRNA from 1 species